GAUGAACGCUGGCGGCAUGCCUAACACAUGCAAGUCGAUCGGUAAGGCUCUUCGGAGUACACUAGAGUCGUACGGCUGAGUAACGCGUAGGAACACACCCUGCAGCGAUGUAUAAGACACCUAAAGGUGUUCUAAUACCGCAUACGGUCUUCGGAUUAAAGCAUUUAUGAGCUGAAGGAGUGGCCUGCGUCAUUUUAGAUAGUUGGUGUGGUAAUGGCUCACCAAGGCGAUGAUGUGUAGCUGGUCUGAGAGGAUGAUCAGCCAGACUGGAACUGAGACACGGUCCAGACUCCUACGGGAGGCAGCAGUGAGGAAUAUUUCACCAUGAGCGAAAGCUUGAUGGAGCAAUGCCGCGUGAAGGAUGAAGGCCCUCGGGUUGUAAACUGCUUUUAUAAGAGAAGAUUAUGACGGUAACUUAUGAAUAAGGGACGGCUAACUACGUG
rnacentral:rRNA from 1 species